ensembl:lncRNA
GCAAGGGAGAAUGCUGGAAUACAUUUGCAUGUAUUUUUAAAAAAUCAAAAGCUAUUUUUAUAAAAAUUAAAAGCUAUUUAAGUGUCAGGUGAAUAGCUGGAGUGUUAUCUUGUGGAAAGGCCUGAUGAAAUGAUAAAAGGAUUUUGUGCUCCUUGAGGUCAGGAGGGAUUUUAGUAACUAGAAACUAAGCUUUGAUUAACCGUGGACAAUGGAAGAGACACAAAUCCAGCUUUCAAAUUUAUAACAUGUGUGAUCCUGGGCAAAUCAAUUAACCUCUGUCUGCCUCAGUCUCCUCACCUAUUAAAUGAGGACCAUAAUAACACCUUCCAUCCAGGUUGGUUGUGAGGAUAAAAUGACAAAAUGCUUGUAAAACAUUUUGUAAACAUUAAUUCAAAUCUAAAUGUUAAUUAUUAUUAUUCACAUUCAGAAGAGCAAAGUCAUGGCAGUGAGGCAAUAGGAAAACCAACAGUUUCUAGGGCCAAGGAACAAAUCUGUUGGCAGAGUCACCACAAUGAGACAUGAAUGUCUAAAGAUGACUGGCUAAAGGACUUAAUACCUCCCAAUCAGAGUAAGACAGUCAAAAACCACUGUGUCCUUUCUAUGUGCCCUUGGCUGUUCUAAACCUCAUUCUUGGUUUGUAAAAUGAAUCUAAGGUCCUUUACCUAAGCAAUAUUACUACUCUAAUAUUCUAUCUCUAAAAUAUGAGUGGGCAUAAAAAAAGACAGGGUCCUAGCUUCUGUUUCUGGUGGAAGCAGAGAACAUUAGGUAGAGAAUACCUAUUUUUCUCCAGUAUGAAUUCGUUGGUGUUUACUAAGCUGUGUGUUCCAACCAAAGGUCAUCCCACAUUCCUUGCACUGAUAAGGCUUCUCGCCAGUAUGAAUCCUGUGAUGAGAUGUCAGUGAAGAGGUAUAUCUAAAAGCCUUUCCACAUUCGUUACAUUCAUACGGUUUCUCUUGAGUGUGAACUCGUUGAUGUUUACUAAGCUGGGCCUUCUGACAAAAGGCUUUCCCACACUGAUUACAUUCAUAAGGUUUGUCUCCAGUGUGAAUUCUCUGAUGUCGAGUAAGCUGUGUCCUCCGGCUAAAAGUCUUCCCACAUUCGCAACAUUCAUAAGGCUUCUCUCCUGUAUGAAUUCUCUGAUGUUCAAUAAGUUGUAUGUUCUGGGGGAAGGCCCUCCCACAUUCGUUACAUAUAUAUGGUUUUUCUCCAGUAUGGAUCCUGUGAUGGUAAGUAAGGGAAGAGCUGUGUUUAAAAGCCUUCCCACAUUCAUUACAUUCAUAAGGUUUCUCUCCAGUAUGAAUUCUGUGAUGGGAACUGAGGGAUGAGCUAUGUCUAAAAGUUUUCCCACAGUAAUUACAUUCAUAAGGUUUCUCUCCAGUAUGGAUUCUCUGGUGUCCAAGAAGCUGUAUGCUCUGGGGAAAGGCCUUUCCACAUUCGUGACACUCGUAAGGUUUCUCUCCCGUGUGCGUUCUCUGAUGUUCAAUGAGAUGUGACCGCCGGCUGAAGGCCUUCCAACACUGAUUACACCCAUAAGGUUUCUCUCCAGAAUGACUUCUCUCAUGUCGAGCAAGAUGUGCACUCUGGCCAAAGGCCUUCCCACACUCAUUACAUUUAUAGACUUCUUUUCUAGUAUGAGUUGUCUGAUGUUCCAGAAGUUUAAUGUUCUGGGGAAAGGUCUUUCCCCAUUUAUCACACUCAUAAAGUUUCUUUCCAGAUUGAAUUCUCUGAUAAGAAAUAAUGGAUGAACUGUGGCAUAUGGUGCUCCCACAUUCACUAUAUUCAUGAAGUUUCUCUUCAGUACAAAUUCUGUGACAUUCAAUAACAUCAGAA